UCGUCGGUGGUGCAGUGGUAGCGUUCUUGAAUUUAAUUAUUUCCCUCAGGUUCGAAUCCUGACUGGAAAA